GGGGAUUUAGCUCAGUGGUAGAGCGCUUGCCUAGCAAGCGCAAGGCCCUGGGUUCGCUCCCCAGCUCCA
rnacentral:tRNA from 1 species